UGGGGGGGGGAUGAAGCAUUGUUUCUCUGUGUGUUUACAUGAGAAACAAUGCUUCAUCCCCCCCCAUAUUUAUUAUC